GCCAUACCACCCUGAACACUCCCGAUCUCAUCUGAUCUCAGAAGCUAAGCAGGGUCGGGCCUGGUGAGUACUUGGACGGGAAAAAGACAGGUAGAAAGAAACA
rnacentral:rRNA from 1 species